UCAGACACAACUAUGUCUGAAGUCAAGAUUAAAGCCUGCGAGUCUUUGGUGAACAAAAUGGAAAUAAAUGCUGAAAAUUCCCCUACUCACCUUGAAAGGCUAAUGUGGAAUGAGAGAUUGUCUUCUCGAUCCUUGGUGGAUGGGAGACGAGGGCACACCAAGAGAGCAAGACGCAUCAGAAGAAGAAGGCAGACAAAAAUGAGAUAGUGCCAGAGAAAGACAUAGCCACGGUCUUUCUCUCACAUUCUCUGUCCACCCUGUCAACCAUACUCUGUCCUGAUGUGAAGGAGACUGCAGGGACCACAAGGUCUCUACUUUGAGACUCUUAGUCUUAUGUAACCACUGAGCCUCUGGUAACUUUGAGGAAUGUAGGGAGGUUCUGGCAGCAUUUUCCUUCAUACUAAGGCUGAAAGGUCAAAGUGAUCAGCUCUGAGGCAGCUGGUUCUCUAGACUCCCCCACAGAGUCCUUAGAGAAUGGAGGCAAAUGUCUGCUUGGGAGCUUUCCUGGGCAUCCCUGGGCUGGCUCCCCUAUAGAACAUGUGUGGAGGGAGAGGGAAUCUCAGCUCCCAUUUGUACCUCACUUGAUGACUGCCUCCCUUUUCAGUCCAUAAGAAUUUAUACUCCACCCAAAAUAGUUGCGGCCAGUAGGUGGUGAGCAUUCGCUGUGAGCUAGGUGCUCUUCUAAGUGCAUUCUCUGUGUUAACUCCUUUAAUUUUCACAAUCACCCUAUGGGAAAGACAUGGUUACUGGCCCAGUUUGAUGAAUGAGACAAUCAAGGCACAAAGGGUAAAGGAGAAUUGAGAUUAAACGAGGUUGUUCUGGCUUCAGAAUCUACUCCUUAAUGACUGUGCCUCUGCCUCCUACUAUAAUCAGUUCCCUGAAGGCCUUCCAGUCUGUGCUUUCAAGCUAUCACAAGACUGUUAUUUCUGCUUGCCUUUCUCCUUGAUUCUUCGUUUGGAAGUAUGGAAGCAAACGUCUGCUUGCAAGCAUUCCUGGGCAUCUUAAAAGUCACUCUUAAAAUUCAAUUCAGGCUGUAAAUACUGAUUACCCCCUAUUGUAUUUGAUUCCUUGUUUCUCUUCUCUACCAGACUGUUAGGUCUUGUUUUUCAUCCCUAGCCCAUUGUACAGUGCCUGGUACAAAGUUGGGGUUCAAUAAGGCCAGUGGGAUGAAAGACUGAAUUGUGUAUCGGGCUGAAUUUCUUUCAGGAUAUGAGUUUGUAGAUAUAUACAACAAUCUAUGGGUGUUAUUAGAGAAGGCAAUGGCAUCCCACUCUAGUACUCUUGCCUGGAAAAUCCCA
rnacentral:lncRNA from 1 species